rnacentral:misc_RNA from 1 species
GGUGAGGUCGGCACCGGUGGUUCCCUCCUGACUGUCGCAUUUCAAAUUCUCGUCGAUUCGAUCCCAACAGCAAAGCUGUCCCUUGGAUCUGUUGCGACGGUGAACAGCCUCAUUGCCUGCACUGUUGAAAGGAUCAAGGCUGCCCUCACCGGCGAGAACGUCCAGUGAGCUUUUCGUGAAUGGUGAGGGGUUAAGCUAUGAGUUUUUGGGCGUGGAAAGUCAAG